UACCAGCACCCCGAGUGGUCGGGACGAUUAUUGGGCCUAAAGCAUCCGUAGCCGGCCUUACAAGUCCUCCGUUAAAUCCAGCUGCUUAACAGAUGGGCUGCGGAGGAUACUAUAAGACUAGGAGGCAGGAGAGGCAAGCGGUACUCGAUGGGUAGGGGUAAAAUCCGUUGAUCCAUUGAAGACCACCAGUGGCGAAGGCGGCUUGCCAGAACGCGCUCGACGGUGAGGGAUGAAAGCUGGGGGAGCAAACCGG
rnacentral:rRNA from 1 species